UUAUCAACUGAUGCUACUCUGGAGCAGCUGCCUUUGCUGGUGUGGAGAGGACAGCGGGAGACGUUGGGAGUUGUGUUCUUCUCUGGUUAAUGUGACUGGGAGUUACACUGUUUGCUUGCUCAGACAUCCUUUGAGCGGCUACCGUUCUGCUGAUGAGACAAUUCAGAAUCGGAGAGAUUACAAGGAUUUUCAAGGACUGCCCUCUAGGAGAUAUCAACCCUCACACCUGAUCUUCAGGCUUCUAGGAAAAAGGGCUUUCAAUAGUGAUCCUAGCAGCAAGAGCACACAAAAGCAAGCGGAUGGCACACUAAAAUGGUCACGUGGAUCAGAAAGGAUCUGAGCAACACAGUGGGUGCUAUACUCCUGGGCAGAGAGACUGUUCCUUCAGAAUGAUCUGUGGCUGUCAAUGCCUCUCCAAAACCUUUCAGCCUAUGGUUCUGUGAGCAUCAUACUGAAAAUCCACAGACUCAAUCUAUGCAUGGAGCAACUUGUGUUGUGUACCUGAAAUCUAAUCCAGCACGACAUGUUAAGGACUCACUGCAAUCACUAGCAUUUGAUUUUGCUCCUUUCCCUGUAUAUCUCUUGGUCGUUAAAGUCAGUGUCCCACUUUAUCUUCAUCCAUCCCUUAAAUAUAAGCCAAUAAACACUCUGAUCGAAA